UUGAUCCUGGCUCAGGAUGAACGCUAGCUACAGGCUUAACACAUGCAAGUCGAGGGGAAACGACAUCGAAAGCUUGCUUUUGAUGGGCGUCGACCGGCGCACGGGUGAGUAACGCGUAUCCAACCUGCCCACCACUUGGGGAUAACCUUGCGAAAGUAAGACUAAUACCCAAUGACGUCUCUAGAAGACAUCUGAAAGGGAUUAAAGAUUUAUCGGUGAUGGAUGGGGAUGCGUCUGAUUAGCUUGUUGGCGGGGUAACGGCCCACCAAGGCGACGAUCAGUAGGGGUUCUGAGAGGAAGGUCCCCCACAUUGGAACUGAGACACGGUCCAAACUCCUACGGGAGGCAGCAGUGAGGAAUAUUGGUCAAUGGACGAGAGUCUGAACCAGCCAAGUAGCGUGCAGGAAGACGGCCCUAUGGGUUGUAAACUGCUUUUAUAAGGGAAUAAAGUGAGUCUCGUGAGACUUUUUGCACGUACCUUAUGAAUAAGGACCGGCUAAUUCCGUGCCAGCAGCCGCGGUAAUACGGAAGGUCCGGGCGUUAUCCGGAUUUAUUGGGUUUAAAGGGAGCGUAGGCCGGAGAUUAAGCGUGUUGUGAAAUGUAGACGCUCAACGUCUGCACUGCAGCGCGAACUGGUUUCCUUGAGUACGCACAAAGUGGGCGGAAUUCGUGGUGUAGCGGUGAAAUGCUUAGAUAUCACGAAGAACUCCGAUUGCGAAGGCAGCUCACUGGAGCGCAACUGACGCUGAAGCUCGAAAGUGCGGGUAUCGAACAGGAUUAGAUACCCUGGUAGUCCGCACGGUAAACGAUGGAUGCCCGCUGUUGGUCUGAAUAGGUCAGCGGCCAAGCGAAAGCAUUAAGCAUCCCACCUGGGGAGUACGCCGGCAACGGUGAAACUCAAAGGAAUUG
rnacentral:rRNA from 1 species